UUCAAGACGGCAAUGGCACAAAGCUAGUGAAUGCCGCAGACCAAGAAGAGAACCUGAGAGGUGCUUUCCAUUUACCACUGGAGUAACUCCGGAGUAGCUCCAACUAGCUUCAAGGUCAGUGAUUGUUGUUCCAUUUAGCAAACUGAACUACUCGGAACAGAUUAGAAUUGUACCUACCCCCGUCCUCUCAAGCACCACCUUUUUGACGCCGAGUAACAAACUCUUAAGGAGAAGGGGGAAGGAAUUUAUGUUUUGAUUGCGACCGGUGGGGUUAUGUUUAUGUUGGGUUUUGUUCAUCUUUGGAAAUUUAUAAGUAGUGACUGUGGUAGUGAUACUUAAAAGUGAACCAUGGAAAAUGUACAAGCAAUAACAAUAAUUCCAAUGACAGUAUCCGACGUACAAAACGGUUGCUACCUGCUCAAAUCUCCACAAAACACAACGUAUAAAUUACCUGUGGGGUCUGUGGAGAUGAAGAAUGGAACUCUGUUUAAGCUUGACGCCACAACAUAUUGGCAGUUGAUAGUUCCUACACAUGAGGAUGAACCACGGGAUGAACUCGAUAAGCCAGAAACAUGGCCAGAAAAAAUAAUAGAGAAUGAGGCAGAACUAGAAACCUCGGGGAAAACUGAGUAUGAGGAUGUACGCCAAAUAUGGGCGCAUGACGAAACAAUAUGCCUUAUAGCAUGGCCUCCUUGAUGUAUGGAGACAACUUCGUUGUUCAGGCCUGGCGCAUCGAUAAGCUUCAGCGGUUUUUUCGAAACCGUAGAUGGCGCCCUAUUUAGCGCACUGACGUUUAUGUGACAAAUAGCAUUUGUGAGGUUAAAUCCGAAAAAAAAUUGAAUUUAACAAGUACAAUCAUCAUAAGAGAAGGUGAAAAAGAGCCCACAAUGUAAUUGAUAAUUUCUAAAUACAAAAACUCAAAAAAAUUUAUAAAGUAGUAGAUUUUUUUCGGGAGUUUGGUGAUCCACGAGCGGUGCUUGAGAGU